rnacentral:tRNA from 1 species
UCCCUGGUGGUCCGGUGGUUAGGACUCCAUGCUCCCAAGGCAGGGGAUGUGGGUUCGAUCCCCAGUCAGGGAA